rnacentral:misc_RNA from 1 species
AACGCAUCUUGCGCUCUCUGGUAUUCCGGAGAGCACGCCUGUUCGAGUGUCGUGAAAUUAUCAAACUGGUUAGCUUCAUUGCUUUUCUGGUUUGGAUUUGGACAUUGCUGUCUCACAACAGCUGGUCUUAAAAGUAUUAGCUGGCUCUUGAUUAUGAGUUUGGUUCUACUCAGCGUGAUAAUUAUGUGACCGCCGAGGACAUCUUUUGGGAUGGCCGAGCUUCUUUCUAUGAACUGCUUCUAACCUGGUUGUGAAACAUAUUUGUUUCGCACCAUUUCUGACUUUUGACCUCGAAUCAGGUGGGACUACCCGCUGAACUUAA